rnacentral:misc_RNA from 1 species
UCUCCGUAGGUGAACCUGCGGAGGGAUCAUUACUGAGUGAGGGCUCACGCCCGACCUCCAACCCUGUGUGAACACAUCUUGUUGCUUCGGGGGCGACCCUGCCGCUUCGGCGGUGCGGCGCCCCCGGAGGCCUUCAAACACUGCAUCUUUGCGUCGGAGUUUAAGUAAAUUAAACAAAACUUUCAACAACGGAUCUCUAGGUUCUGGAAUCGAUGAAGAACGCAGC